AUGACAUGCAUUCAUUUCUUUUAGAGCAUUGAAUUCGGAUUGCAUGGCCUUUUUCCAUUCAAGAUAUAGAAAGGCUUGUUUAAAUGUGGUUGGUUCAAUUUGAAGGAAGUUGGGAGAUGUUUUGGCUUUUAGGGAACGACAUACAUGAUUUGCAUGCCAUUAGGCUAGGGUAGAGGGAGGUAGCAUCAUGGGAUGGUUCGGCUUUGAUCAUUGGAAGGUGGUUAAGUUUCAAUCAAGGUAGAAUAUCAGGUAAGAUCAACCAUUAAAUUUAAAUCAGUUGGAGAUAUGAAAUUAUCAUCAUUAAUGGUUAUGUAAGAGUUUGAAUGGCCAACGGUUGGUUUGAUGAUGGACACGUGAUCUCUAGAUUUGGAUCAAACAUAUUACGUUAGUUCUCACUAAGAGAUAAAUGCCCAGGAUUUUGUGGGGAUUAAAUGGACUCGGCUGAAGAUAAAUUUUACAAGGUUGACGUGUCUGAAUGGGACAUAGUGUUUGCAUGGGAAGGAUGUGAAAGAGGCAAAUAACUGGGAAUCCAUGAGGCUGACUAGGUCGUGUUCAUUGAAGGGAGUUGUGUUGGAGUCGUAUGAGUAGAUGCUUGAAAAAUGAAUUUGUUUUCCUCAAAUGAGGCAUGCUUAGUAAUGUAAACUCUACCUGUAUCCUUAACUAAACAUAUAUUACCAUAAUGAUUAGGUGAGAUACCUAAGUAAACACAUGGCUUCCUAAAAAUAUGCAAAUCAUAAAAAUUAAAAAU
rnacentral:lncRNA from 1 species